rnacentral:rRNA from 1 species
GACGGAAGGUGCAAGCGUUGCUCGGAAUCACUGGGCGUAAAGGGUGCGUAGGCGGCCGUGCAAGUCUGGCGUGAAAGCCCCGGGCUCAGCCCGGGAAGUGCGCUCGAAACUGCGCGGCUCGAGUGCCGGAGGGGAGAGUGGAAUUCCUAGUGUAGCGGUGAAAUGCGCAGAUAUUAGGAGGAACACCGGUGGCGAAGGCGCCACUCUGGGCCGAAACUGACGCUGAGGAGCGAAAGCAUGGGUAGCAAACAGG